CUUUAUGAUUUUUUUGGAGUACGAGAGUUCUCCAGCUGUUUUGUCAUUUCGAUAGCUGUAGAAUCAUUAUUGGGCUAUCAUUUCGACAGGAUAAUUCGGUAUCAGACGUCAUUUUAGAAAAAUAAUUCGGCACCGGACGAUACGAUUUUGACUAGUAGAUCUUGGCUACGUGUCUGAAUAUCAUUGGAUCAGAGUUGUUCACAUGGAUGACGAUGAGGUGGC
rnacentral:lncRNA from 1 species